UACGGAGGGUGCAAGCGUUGUCCGGAUUUAUUGGGUUUAAAGGGUGCGUAGGUGGCUAUUUAAGUCAGUGGUGAAAGCCUGCAGCUUAACUGUGGGACUGCCAUUGAUACUGAAUAGCUUGAGUACUGAUGAGGUAGGCGGAAUUGAUAGUGUAGCGGUGAAAUGCAUAGAUAUUAUCAAGAACACCGAUUGCGAAGGCAGCUUACUAAGGAGUUACUGACACUGAGGCACGAAAGCGUGGGGAUCAAACAGG
rnacentral:rRNA from 1 species